UACAGAGGUCACAAGCGUUAUCCGGAUUUAUUGGGCGUAAAGCGUUUCGUAGGCGGAUUUAUAAGUUAUCCUUCAAAGACCACGGCUCAACCGGGGGAAGGGGGGUAAUACUGUGAGUCUAACAGACAUCUGGUGGGGCUUUUGGAACUGAUGGUGUAGUAGUGAAAUACGUUGAUAUCAUCAGGAACUCCGAGGGCGAAGGCAGAAAGCUAACCAGUUUGUGACGCUGAGGAACGACAGCUAGG
rnacentral:rRNA from 1 species